rnacentral:rRNA from 1 species
AAGGGGAGGAGAGGAGUGAGUGAGACUUUAGGGAUCGAGCGGGCGCGGCGAGAAGGAGACCGGGCGCGGCGAGAGGGAGAGCGGGUGCGGCGAGAAGGAGACCGGGCACGGCGAGAGGGAGAGUGGGUGCGGCGAGCGGACGCAGAUGCAGCGGCGAAGAGGGAAAGCGGGCGCGGCGGAGAGGGAGAGCGGCCGCAGCGUACGCGGUGGAAGAGGACGAGUUCGGUUUCGACCGAAAAAAUGACUUCAGGUCCUUCUCGUCGUCAUCACGCCCCGUCUGUCGGAACAGGACGAGCUGCUGCCACCGUCGCAAGAGGCAGAGCUGCUGCCGCCGCUGUUUGCGAUCGCGAGGAGCAGAAGGAGCUGGACGUUCCUCCUCGUGGCCAUGACCUCUACGCCGACGACGACGGUCCAGACGUGCUGCACCUCCAGGACGUCUACGCCAACGACGAGACCGCCUGCUCCCCCUCAAGUUCGACGGCCCGCUGAAGUUGAAGUAGAAGUAGACGUCUAGUCCGCGUAUGCUAAGCGAACUAAGCCCACCCUUGUAAUGUUAGUUCACCCGUGACCUUACUAGUACACUACGUGACAAACUUCAAUUCUGAUUAAGUCAAGUCAGUCAAACUUCGAUUCUGUUUAAAGGAACCGUAAAGUGAUCUACACCACAAUUACCGGACUUCUAAAAUAGUCUAAUAGGUGGUAAGUAGUACGUUGGCCUGACCGUUUAUGACGACUUAUACAAGUCUUCGUCUUUAACCUUGUUUCCUUUUGUAGUGUACGAGGCUGGUCUAAUUAAAGGUUGAAUCGAUCUACUGGUCUAAUUAAAGGUUGAAUCGAUCUACUGGUCUAAUUAAAGGUUGAAUCGAUCUACGGAUCAAUACCCUUAGCUGGUCUAAUUAAAGGUUGAGUCGAUCUAGGAACGAUACCUCUGUCUCCUCAGCAUCCAACCCGUAGCGGGGGAGGAGUUUAGGGUCCUCAUGAGAUACCUAAUGUCUUCUUAACUAAACCCUCUCCGCUCCUCUUGGACGGAUCUUCGUUGCACGGCGCCGCCGCCCCUGUCCACCCGACCCGCGCCGCUCCUGGUUAGACCCCGCCGCUGCUGGUUCGACCCGCCCCCGCCGAUGGUUUAUCCGUGUCGCCGCCGCCGGUUCGCCCGCGCCGUCGUUGGUUCGCCCGCGUCGCCUCCGGCUUGACCCGUGGACCCUAGCCCUGGCUCACGGACGUCCGCCCCGGGCUCGCGAACCUGCUUCCCCUACUGCGCUCGAGGACGUCCUCCUUCUGCCGUGCGACCUCUUCCUUCUGCCCGCUCGAGGACAUCCUUCUUCUGCUGCGCUCGAGACCUCCUCCUUCUGCUGAGUUUAAAGUUUAGCUCCCAUUUUGACAGGUAAAGGGGUAAACAGCCGACACAGACUUUUAACAUUUGCGAGAAUAUUUUCAAAUGUCUCCCUCAUGAAUUCUUUCAAAAUGUUACAGUGAACGGGUCAAAUUGUUUGUUGCUUCCUUGUUUUUCUUUUACAAUUGGUAGUCG